UGAUAUGGGCGACAGUGUCCUCGAUCACCACCGUGGUGCCCAAGAUCAAAACACACAACUUAAAAUGCAGUGACUAUCAGGUGCGUAUUAUGUUUUAUGAUGUGAAACUGAUUAUUCCCCCGGUGGAUAAUCACUGCUGUUCGUCAUUACUAGAUAUCAAAAUACUGGUGGGUGUUUAUGUGUGUGUGUUUGUGCAGGUGUGUGUUUGUGUGCAUUUUCAGCAUGUUGCGACACUUUAAUUGUGGUCUUAGAGGAACAUGUCAUAUUUCGAGGAAUUAGUGUUCCUUAUUCCUACGCAUUAUGGGCCUGAGUCCAUCAGAAUAUCAACUAUGUAGAUAUUUUUGGGGUGGCGCAUCUGGGUAUGAACACAUGGCUCUAUAGCGCCCCCUAAACAUUUGGCACUGUUGCCAUUUGGCUUACUUGUUGCCACCGAUGACCGAUUGACUUGAAAUUUGGCAGACAGGUGCUCAUCUGCAUGUUCUACACAGAGGUCAGGGAUGAUGGUACGCAAAUGCACCCUUACAAACAUAUUCAAUAGAACUGAACACACUGCCAGGAGCUUCACUUCUUUACCUGUUGAAGUCCUGUCGGGUUGCUCCACUCUCUGUUGGAUGGUUGUCAAAUAAACUCGGUUUUACUUACUCCAGUCGGUCUCCUGGUCAAUCCGUGACACAGAGCAUAAAGAUCGGCAUUUGAAAAUUCCAUCAUUAACUGCAAUAAAUCAUUGCAAAUAUCUCUUCUUUAGCUCUAGUUAACCAUUGUUUGGGUAAAAAUAAAUGUAAUUUUUAUAAUGCAUUUUGACAUUGGGGAAUAGUGGUAAUAACUAAAUGAAUUGCAAUCACAGUUAGAGUAAUUCAUGUGCUAUUUCUUCUUGUAAAACCGCACGAAAUAUAUAUUGCGGUAGUUUUGCAGCAGCAUGCAAAAUAUUGAUUUCAUUAUGUUUAGUUUUCCUGUUCUAUCAUUAUCAUUUUCUUUCUCAACAUGUGUCUCAGAAUAAUUUUAAUAAUAGAAUAAUGUUCUUCUCUAGCUUAUCCUGAGGUGAAGCUGGCUUUGUAAACUAAAGGACAAGAUGAUAAACUGGAGCACAAACAUAUUCUCCCUGUCAUGAUCUGACUUGGCUUUGGAGGUGUGGUUUCUGAGUUUCAGGCUGGGAGAGCAGGUUUCCCCGGUUACCUGGGCGGAGUCCGUGGCUGCCUGCUGUCACACCUGUCCUGCAUAUACAAUCGUCAGGAACCCCUCUUAAGGAACAGCAGGAGCACCUGUUUUCGCCAGAUCGUUUUGCCCUCCUAGUGUCUCGUCCCAGCCUGCUUUCCCGGAACCUGACGGAUUCCCCGGCUUCCCCUCUCGCCCUCCGCGGCUUGGGAGAACCCCUCCGGCCAGCCGGAUCACUACCUCUCCCUCCAGCGUGGAUUCUAUCUAUUGCAUCGCUCCUGCCGCCUGGACCCCUGUGCCUGUCUGCCUUUCCAGCGUCUUCCCCAGCCACGGAUCCCGAAUUAACUAUUUAAAUCCCUCUGCUGCCAAAAUAAAAUCUUUUUCUUAUCCUC
ensembl:lncRNA